rnacentral:rRNA from 1 species
AUACGUAGGGGGCUAGCGUUAUCCGGAAUUACUGGGCGUAAAGGGUGCGUAGGUGGUUUCUUAAGUCAGAAGUGAAAGGCUACGGCUCAACCGUAGUAAGCUUUUGAAACUAAGAGACUUGAGUGCAGGAGAGGAGAGUAGAAUUCCUAGUGUAGCGGUGAAAUGCGUAGAUAUUAGGAGGAAUACCAGUUGCGAAGGCGGCUCUCUGGACUGUAACUGACACUGAGGCACGAAAGCGUGGGGAGCGAACAGGAUUAGAUACCCUGGUAGUCCACGCCGUAAACGAUGAGUACUAGCUGUCGGGGGUUACCCCCCUCGGUGGCGCAGCUAACGCAUUAAGUACUCCGCCUGGGAAGUACGCUCGCAAGAGUGAAACUCAAAUGAAUUGACGGGG